AUGAAUGCUGCAAAUACUGAAUGCACGGCCUGUUUCCAAGGCUGUCUUUUAACUCCUGCAGGAAGCGCUAGAGGAAUCGUCCAUGUUUUAAUUGCUAGAAGAAAGCUGGAGAAAAAUCUGCUGACAAGCAUCCAAAGUGUGUUAUGUUUUGUUUCAAUCGCGGCAAGGCACGUGUGCAGCCUGUUUAGUGCAGAAUCAGAGGAGAGGUCCCUCCAAUGUUUGCACCUGAGGAAGUCCUUGGGAACCGAUACUUCUCUGCUCUAUGUGGAAUUCCUCUCCUAUUAGACAAAUCAGCUCUGCUGGACUCUGCCGCAAGCCCUGCUCCCUUCCGCUGUGUGCCAGCAAAUUAUGUACCACUCACUGCGUCAGAUGGGUGCAUCAGGAAGUUGGAGUUGCAAAGCAGAAGUUGGGAACAAUCGUAUCUUUAUUUGUUUCUUGAGACAUUGUCUGGUGCCUGCAGGAAAAUACGCUCCUGAAGCUGCAUGCACUGUUCCUUCCCAAUUCCCAUGUCAGCCACAUGGCCCCUGCGUGCCUUUCCCUGUCUGUAUGACAUGUAUGUGAAUAAUUCUUUGUCUGUGUGGUUGGGCUACGAACAUGUAACGAUCUUUAAGCCUGAAGACCAUACUCAAGUAUAGGCUUCUGCACUUAAAAGCUUCUGUUUUUUUUUCCUGAGAUGGUAUCAUUUGAGUUUUAAUCCCCAGACUAGAUUGAUGGCUUUCAAUUGCAAAACCUGGUAGACAUGCUGAUGAUAUAUGUCAUGGCUCACAUUAAAUCAACGAGGAAUAAGGAUAUACAACUGCCAACCUAAUUCCAGCUUCUGUUAAAUCAGAAUGGCCCCACUGUGUGGUUACUUAUACUUGAUGAUAGGUGAGUGCAGCACGUCAGCAUAUCUUCCUUGUGUCAUCUGUUACAGCUAUAACACUCAUGCAAUUUUUGAACAAUGGUGAUUGAGUGUGAUUUGGCAGUUUGAACCUCAGGAAGCCGUAUAUUUCCCCAUGACACCAUGCUAUCUAAUAUACCGGCUAUCUCAGAUUGCAUCAGCUCCGAAAGCUAGCAUAGAGGUUAUGACUUAAGGUGAAUAAUAAAGUCCAUUUAUUGGUUAUUAGACAUGAAGCAAUAACAUUUCUGGCAUUCCACCUCCCAAAUCUGACAGCCAUUUCUCCUGCAGCAGAGGGAACGCGCUGUCUGCAUUGCACACUCCUUGCUGGUGUGUUUGGGGGUGCACUUUCUGGAGGGGCUGUGCAGCUGAGCACCGGAGGCCAGGGCAGGAGAGGUGGGCAGUGCGUGAGGUCUAAACACAUGCAGAAAGUAUCCAUAGGAUGUGCCAUUCUGACAUGAGUAGAAGCGGAGGCUUUCUGGCCUGGAAGGGCCGCUUUCUGCUACUUGUGGUAGAAGGCCCACUGUAGGAACAGGCAUGAUCUGUGGUGUUGGUGGUCUUUCUAUCCUUAGUAAGUGAACUACAGUAGUUAUUUACUGUAGAAAACUUUUAGGCAUGCUCCAGGUAUUUGAACCUCACCAUGAGUUUUAAAGUCCUGUCUUGCAGACUGUUCCUGUCUCAUUGCUCUUCUGUUCAUGAGUUCUCAAAUAAUUCUUUCCAUUUUUUCCU
ensembl:lncRNA